rnacentral:rRNA from 1 species
AGUAACCUGCCUUGGAGUGGGGAAGUAACAGCUGGAAACAGCUGCUAAUACCGCAUGAUGCAGUUGGGUCGCAUGGCUCUGACUGCCAAAGAUUUAUCGCUCUGAGAUGGACUCGCGUCUGAUUAGCUAGUUGGCGGGGCAACGGCCCACCAAGGCGACGAUCAGUAGCCGGACUGAGAGGUUGGCCGGCCACAUUGGGACUGAGACACGGCCCAGACUCCUACGGAAGGCAGCAG